rnacentral:rRNA from 1 species
UAGGGAAUCUUCGGCAAUGGACGGAAGUCUGACCGAGCAACGCCGCGUGAGUGAAGAAGGUUUUCGGAUCGUAAAGCUCUGUUGUAAGAGAAGAACGAGUGUGAGAGUGGAAAGUUCACACUGUGACGGUAUCUUACCAGAAAGGGACGGCUAACUACGUGCCAGCAGCCGCGGUAAUACGUAGGUCCCGAGCGUUGUCCGGAUUUAUUGGGCGUAAAGCGAGCGCAGGCGGUUAGAUAAGUCUGAAGUUAAAGGCUGUGGCUUAACCAUAGUACGCUUUGGAAACUGUUUAACUUGAGUGCAAGAGGGGAGAGUGGAAUUCCAUGUGUAGCGGUGAAAUGCGUAGAUAUAUGGAGGAACACCGGUGGCGAAAGCGGCUCUCUGGCUUGUAACUGACGCUGGGGCUCGAAAGCGUGGGGAGCAAACAGGAUUAGAUACCCUGGUAGUCCACGCCGUAAACGAUGAGUGCUAGGUGUUAGACCCUUUCCGGGGUUUAGUGCCGCAGCUAACGCAUUAAGCACUCCGCCUGGGGAGUACGACCGCAAGGUU